AUGCUCCAUGAUGUUACUCUCAACUCAGACACGAAGGACACAAUAUCUUGGAAAUUCACUUCCAGUGGUGAAUAUUCGGCGGCCACAGCUUACAAGGCACAGUUCACGGGGCAAGUUCUCAGUUCAACCUCUACCACAAUCUGGAAGGCUUGGGCUCCGCCUAAGUGCAAAUUAUUUGCUUGGUUGAUCGUUCAAAACCGAGUGUGGACGGCCGAUCGUUUGCAGCGACGAGUAUGGCCAAAUUGCGUUCAAAACCGAGUGUGGACGGCCGAUCGUUUGCAGCGACGAGUAUGGCCAAAUUGCGUCCUUUGCCCCCUAUGUAAGCAGGUUCGGGAGCCCGCUGCUCAUCUCCUAUUCCAGUGUAGAUUCACCGUCCGCAUUUGGAAUGAGGUCGUCGCUUGGCUAGGCAUGCACGAUCAAUCACCGAUGACUUGGCGACAUGAGGUGUCUGUUCAUGAUUGGUGGCUAAACUCAGGCGGCUACAUCAAGGCGAUAGUCUCCAUGAUGAUGCUUGUCUCGUGA
rnacentral:rRNA from 1 species